GUGGGGAAUAUUGGUCAAUGGGCGCAAGCCUGAACCAGCCACGCCGCGUGAGUGAUGAAGGCCUUCGGGUUGUAAAGCUCUGUGGGGAGGGAAGAAAACGGCCGGUAAGAAACGACCGGUCCUUGACGGUACCUCCUUAGCAAGCACCGGCUAACUCUGUGCCAGCAGCCGCGGUAAUACAGAGGGUGCGAACGUUGCUCGGAAUUACUGGGCGUAAAGCGCGUGUAGGCGGGUCCGCAAGUCAGAUGUGAAAUCCCCGGGCUCAACUCGGGAACUGCAUCUGAAACUGCGAGCCUUGAGUACCGGAGAGGGUGGCGGAAUUCCUGGUGUAGAGGUGAAAUUCGUAGAUAUCAGGAGGAACACCGGUGGCGAAGGCGGCCACCUGGACGGUAACUGACGCUGAGACGCGAAAGCGUGGGGAGCAAACAGGAUUAGAUACCCGAGUAGUCC
rnacentral:rRNA from 1 species